UACGAAGGGGGCUAGCGUUGUUCGGAUUUACUGGGCGUAAAGCGCACGUAGGCGGAUUGUUAAGUGAGGGGUGAAAUCCUGGAGCUCAACUCCAGAACUGCCUUUCAUACUGGCAAUCUAGAGUCCGGAAGAGGUAAGUGGAACUCCUAGUGUAGAGGUGGAAUUCGUAGAUAUUAGGAAGAACACCAGUGGCGAAGGCGGCUUACUGGUCCGGUACUGGACGCUGAGGUGCGAAAGCGUGGGGGAGCAAACAGG
rnacentral:rRNA from 1 species